rnacentral:rRNA from 1 species
UGGGGAAUAUUGCACAAUGGGCGAAAGCCUGAUGCAGCGACGCCGCGUGGGGGAUGAAGGCCUUCGGGUUGUAAACUCCUUUCGCUCGUGACGAAGCCUUUCGGGGUGACGGUAGCGGGAGAAGAAGCACCGGCUAACUACGUGCCAGCAGCCGCGGUAAUACGUAGGGUGCGAGCGUUGUCCGGAAUUAUUGGGCGUAAAGAGCUUGUAGGCGGUUUGUCGCGUCUGCUGUGAAAGCCCGGGGCUUAACUCCGGGUCUGCAGUGGGUACGGGCAGGCUAGAGUGUGGUAGGGGAGACUGGAAUUCCUGGUGUAGCGGUGAAAUGCGCAGAUAUCAGGAGGAACACCGAUGGCGAAGGCAGGUCUCUGGGCCAUUACUGACGCUGAGAAGCGAAAGCAUGGGGAGCAAACA